UACAGAGACUGCGAGCGUUAUUCGGAUUCACUGGGCGUAAAGGGUGCGCAGGCGGCCAAGUGUGUUAGGCGUGAAAGCCCGAGGCUUAACCUCGGAAUUGCACCUAAGACUACUUGGCUAGAGUACUGGAGAGGGAAACGGAAUUCACGGUGUAGCAGUGAAAUGCGUAGAUAUCGUGAGGAACACCAGAGGCGAAGGCGGUUUCCUGGACAGUUACUGACGCUCAGGCACGAAAGCGUGGGGAGCAAAAGGG
rnacentral:rRNA from 1 species